rnacentral:rRNA from 1 species
UACGGAGGGUGCGAGCGUUGUCCGGAAUCAUUGGGCGUAAAGGGCGCGUAGGUGGCCCGGUCAGUUCGUGGUGAAAGCGCGGGGCUCAACCCUGCGUCGGCCAUGAAUACUGCCGCGGCUGGAGCACUGUAGAGGCAGGCGGAAUUCCGGGUGUAGCGGUGGAAUGCGUAGAGAUCCGGAAGAACACCGGUGGCGAAGGCGGCCUGCUGGGCAGUUGCUGGACACUGAGGCGCGACAGCG